UGAUCCCAGGGGCAAGGAGGAAGUCUUCCUUGUCUGGCAUUGAGGUUGGGGAGGAGCCACGUCAGAAAUAAUAGCUCAGGGCACCCACGUUGGGGGACCACCCUGUGCUCGCUGCCUCGUCGUGCUGAGUCCCCAGGACCAGCCUCUGAGCUAACAGGACCUUCCUCCUCUGUUUUCCGGAUGAAGAAACUGAGGCACAGAGAGGCCAGAGUCCAAAGAAGAGCUGGGGGAGGGGCACAAAGGGGUCCUCACGGAUGCCAGGCUGAUGCCAAGAAGAGAAACUGCGGAAUCUCGGGGCCACCGUGCUCCUGGAGCUGGCCUUUCUGGGUCAGCGUUUCACCUGCAGCAACUGGAGAAACAGUGGAAUAUUACACGGCUGUGAAAAAGAACCCCAGGCGUCAGCUGCCAGAUGGCUGGGUCCUGGCAACACACUCCUUUCUUCAUUUUAAAAAUUGGAUGCAGUGCAAAAAUCUUCAUUUGCAGCUGGACAGGUUUCGUAGUAGAAUCUUUAUCCACCCCCCGCCAGCUUUAUUGAGGUGUAACUGACAAAUAAAGUUGUAAUAUAUUUAAAGCCUGUGAUAUGAUGAUUUGAUCAUAGUCGAAUCUUGAGCAAAAAAGAAGUCCCCAAAGCCCAGCUGAAAGCCACCCGAGUCAUAAAGCUCAGACAGAGAAAUUGAUACAAGAUAAGCUUUCAGCAUACCAACAUGUCUAAGAAAACUUAAAAAAAUAAAGGAGUGGGACUUCCCUGGAGGCACAGUGGAUAAGACUUCGCGCUCCCAAUGCAGGGGACCCGGGUUUGAUCCCUGGUCAGGGAACUAGAUCCCACAUGCAUGCCACAACUGAGAGUUCACAA